AUACGGAGGGUGCAAGCGUUACUCGGAAUCACUGGGCGUAAAGCGCGCGCAGGCGGCUAUUUAAGUUGGAUGUGAAAGCCUACGGCUCAACCGUAGAACUGCAUCCAAAACUAUUUAGCUAGAGGGUGGGAGAGGAAGAUGGAAUUAGUUGUGUAGGGGUAAAAUCCGUAGAGAUAACUAGGAAUACCAAAAGCGAAGGCAAUCUUCUGGAACACUACUGACGCUGAGGCGCGAAAGCGUGGGGAGCAAACAGGAUUAGAAACCCCAUAGUCC
rnacentral:rRNA from 1 species